AUGUCCGCUGCAAGGGAAGUGGCCAUAGGCAUCGACCUGGGCACCACAUACUCAUGCGUGGGCAUGUUCCAGCAAGGCCGGGUGGAGAUCCUCGCCGACGACCAGGGCAACCGCACCACCCCCAGCUACUUGACUUUCACCGACACCGAGCGUCGGGUGGGCGAUGCGGCCAAGAGCCAGGCGGCUCUGAACCCACACAACACAGUGUUCCACGCCAAGUGACUGAUCGGGCGCAAGUUCGCAGACCCCACUGUGCAGUCGGACAUGAAGCACUGGCCCUUCCAGGUGGUGAGCGAGGGCGGCAAGCCCAAGGUGCGCGUGUCCUUCCGUGGGGAGGACAAGGCGUUCUACACACCGAGGAGAUCUCGUCCAUGGUGCUGAGCAAGAUGGAGACAGCGGAGGCAUACCUGGGCCAGCCCCUGAGGCACGCUGUAAUCACGGUGCCCUCCUACUUCAGCGACUCCCAGCGUCAGGCCACCAAGGACGCGGGUGCCACCGCGGGGCUCAACAUGCUGAGGGUCAUCAACCAGCCCACGGCGGCUGUCACGGCCUAUGGCCUGGACCGGCAGGGCGCCGGAGAGCGCAACGUGCUCAUUUUCGACUUGGGUGGGGGCACCUUCCACGUGUCGGUCCUCACUGUCGACGCCGGUGUCUUUGAGGUGAAGGCCACGGCUGGAGACACUCAUCCGGGUGGAGAGGACUUCGACAACCGGCUGUGAACCACUUCUUGGAGGAGUUCCGGCGGAAGCACGGGAAGGACUUACGCAGGAACAAGCGGGUCCUGCGCAGGCUCUGCACAGCCUCUGAGCGCGCCAAGCGCACCCUGCCCUCCAGCACCCAGGCCACUCUGGAGAUCGAUUCCCUGUUUGAGGGCGUAGACUUAUGCACUUCCAUCACUCGAGCCCGCUUUGAAGAACUGUGCUUGGACCUCUUUUGCAGCACCCUGGAGCCGCUGGAGAAGGCCCAGAUCCGUGGCACUGUCCUAGUGGGUGGCUCUACCCGCAUCCCCAAGGUACAAAAAUUCCUGCAGGACGUCUUCAAUGGCAGGGAGCUGAACAAGAGCAUCGACCCGGAUGAGGCUGUGGCUUAUGGGGCUGCUGUGCAGGCAGCAGUGUUGAUGGGGGACAAGUGUGAGAAGGUGCAGGACCUCCUGCUGCUGGAUAUGGCUCCCCUGUCCCUGGGGCUGAAGACAGCUGGUGGGGUGAUGACUACGCUGAUCCAGAGGAAUGCCACCAUCCCGACCAAGCAGACCCAGACUUUUCACUACCUAUUCAGACAACCAGCCUGGGGUCCUGAUCCAGGUGUAUGAGGGUGAGAGGGCCAUGACUAGGGACAGCAACCGGCUGGGAUGCUUUGAGCUCAGUGGCAUCCCUCCUGCCCCACGUGGAGUCCCCCAGAUCGAGGUGACUUUUGACAUUGAUGCCGGUGGCAUCCUGAGUGUGACAGCCACUGACAGGAGCACAGGCAAAGCUAACAAGAUCGCCAUCACCAAUGACAAGGGCCGGCUGAGCAAGGAGGAAGUGGGGAAGAUGGUUUGUGAGGCUGAACAGUACAAGGAUGUUCAGGAUGAGGAUGAGGCCCAGAGGGACAGGGUGGCUGCCAAAAACUCUCUGGAGGCCUAUGUCUUCCAUGUGAAGAGCUCUUUGCAAGAGGAGAGACUUAGAGAUAAGAUUCCUGAAGAGGACGGGUGCAAAGUACAAGACAAGUGUCAGGAAGUCCUUGCUUGGCUGGAGCACAACCGGUUGGCAGAGAAAGAGGAAUAUGAGCAUCAGAAGGGGGAGCUGGAGCAUAUCUGUGGCCCCAUCUUCUCCAGGCUCUACGGGGGGUCUGGUGUCCCUGGCGGUAGCAGUUGUGGAUCUCAAGCCCGACAGGGAGCCCCCGGUACUGGCCCUGUCAUUGAGGAAGUCGAUUAAAUGGCCCCUCCUGGCAAGGCAGCUGUGACUGUAAGGGCUGGGCUUGUGGACUUUCUAGACUGUCUACUAUGAU